rnacentral:rRNA from 1 species
AUUGAACGCUAGCGGGAUGCCUUACACAUGCAAGUCGAACGGCGUGGCGAACGGGUGAGUAAUGUAUCGGAACGUGCCCAUUCGCGGGGGAUAACUACGCGAAAGCGUAGCUAAUACUGCAUACUAUUGGAGCGGCCGGUAUCGGAUUUGCUAGUUGGUGGGGUAACGGCUAACAAUGGCGACGAUCCGUAGCCGGUUUUAGAGGACGACCAGCCACACUGGGACGUAGACGCGGCCCAGACUCCUACGGGAGGCAGCAGUGGGGAAUUUUGGACGAUGGGUGGAAGCCGGAUCCAGCCAUGAAGCGUGUGCGAUAAAGGCCUUCGGGUUGGAAAGCACUUUUGGCAGGAAAGCGAAACCAGCAGAAAAAGCACCGGCUAACUACGUGCCAGCAGCCGCGGUAAUUC